rnacentral:lncRNA from 1 species
AUGGUCUGGGCAGAUACCUGAUGGCCGCUCUCGCCGCCACCUGCGGCUACAGCGUCGUGACCCUCGUGGCCUCCGCCACCGCCGUCAGGAAGGCGUCGCCGUCGACGAAGCUGCUGCUCCAUCUCAUCAUCCUCGACACGGUAAUCCCCCUAAAAUCAAGGAAUUAUUCACGGAAAUCAACCCCCCGAUCCUUCGGGAACUCCAUUAGAAUCAGGCGGUGGUCUCACCCGAUGUUGAACUGGAUGGAUGUGCAGACCAUGGCGGGCGUGUUGGCGGCGGCCACCGGCGCCGGCGGCGGCGUGGCGUACAUCGGCCUGAAGGGCAACUCCCACGUGAGGUGGAACAAGAUAUGCGGCGUCUACGACAACUUCUGCCGC